rnacentral:lncRNA from 1 species
GAGUGCCGACUUCCAGAACUUGGUGCGAGGCACAGACGCCUGCCUUCUGCCCCGGUCCUGUGGACCCGGUGAGGGUGGCCUUCCCUAGGGUUAUGCUUUGUGCUCUCUGCGAUGUCACUUAGUUGGUUUGUGGGUCUUGAGAAGCGUUUUGAUUUUUUUUUUUCCCCUUGCAAGCUUGCUGUGGAGAGAAAAGUAAAUAAUUUUAAUUGUGGAAGAAGACAGAAGUCCUGGGUUUCUUGGAGUUUUGGGGUGACUUCCAUAACCAGUCCUGUCCAGUAUAGAAAUAAAGCAGGGAGGUAAAAUUCUUUCUGGACUACUACUAGGAGUUCUCUUUGCAGAAGGCAGCUUUUCCCUUUGUGUGAUUGGCAAAACGUUACAAAGAAAUCAACUUACAUGCCCUUAUUUACAAAAAAUUCUUCACUCAAAGACUUCCCUGUGGUGCGUUUGUUAGGACCAGGUUUCAGAUGCGAACUGCACGUUUCUCCCAGAGGAGAAGCAAAAGCUGGCAGGCUGACAGAGGCGGCCUCAGGACGGACCUUCUGGCUAUUGACCAUUUUGCUGUGGCUCACCCGGACCGUGUGGAGGCGCGAGAUCAACCAUGAGCUCCGUUGCAGUUUUGACCCAAGAGAGCUUUGCUGAGCACCGCAGUGGACUCAUUCCGCAGCAGAUAAGAGUUGCCACUUUAAAUUCAGAAGAGGAGAGCGACCCUCCAACCUACAAGGAUGCCUUCCCCCCGCUCCCCGAGAAAGCAGCUUGCUUGGAAAACCCCCAGGAACCUGCCGGCGCCUGGAGCAACAAAAUCCGGCCCAUCAAGGCGUCCGUCAUCACUCAGGUGUUCCACGUACCCCUGGAGGAGAGGAAGUACAAGGACAUGAACCAGUUUGGAGAAGGUGAACAAGCCAAAAUCUGCCUCGAGAUCAUGCAGAGGACCGGCGCUCACCUGGAGCUGUCCCUCGCCAAAGACCAGGGCCUCUCCAUCAUGGUUUCUGGGAAGCUGGACGCCGUCAUGAAGGCCCGGAAGGACAUUGUCGCUCGGCUGCAGACUCAGGCCUCCGCCACCGUUGCCAUCCCCAAAGAGCACCAUCGCUUUGUCAUCGGCAAAAACGGAGAGAAACUGCAGGACUUGGAGCUCAAAACCGCAACCAAAAUCCAGAUCCCACGCCCCGAUGACGCCAGCAAUCAGAUCAGGAUCACCGGCACCAAAGAGGGCAUCGAGAAGGCUCGCCACGAGGUCCUGCUCAUCUCCGCGGAGCAGGACAAACGUGCGGUGGAGCGGCUCGAGGUGGAGAAGGCCUUCCACCCCUUCAUCGCGGGGCCCUACAACCGGCUGGUCAGCGAGAUCAUGCAGGAGACGGGCACACGCAUCAACAUCCCGCCGCCCAGCGUCAACCGCACCGAGAUCGUCUUCACGGGCGAAAAGGAGCAGCUGGCGCAGGCCGUGGCUCGCAUCCGCAAGAUCUACGAGGAGAAGAAAAAGAAGACCACCACCAUCGCGGUCGAGGUGAAGAAGUCCCAGCACAAGUACGUCAUCGGCCCCAAGGGCAACUCCUUGCAAGAGAUUCUGGAAAGAACCGGCGUUUCUGUGGAGAUCCCACCUUCAGACAGCGCCUCCGAGACUGUGAUCCUUCGAGGCGAGCCCGAGAAGCUGGGGCAGGCGUUGACAGAGGUCUAUGCCAAGGCCAACAGCUUCACGGUCUCCUCCGUCUCGGCUCCUUCCUGGCUUCACCGUUUCAUCAUUGGCAAGAAGGGUCAGAACCUGGCCAAAAUCACCCAGCAGAUGCCCAAGGUUCACGUUGAGUUCACGGAAGGCGAGGACAGGAUCACCCUGGAAGGCCCCACGGAGGACGUCAGCGCGGCCCAGGAGCAGAUCGAAGCCAUGGUCAAGGACUUGGUGAGCCGGAUGGACUACGUGGAGAUCAGCAUCGACCACAAGUUCCACAGACACCUCAUCGGGAAGAGCGGGGCCAACAUAAACAGGAUCAAGGACCAGUACAAGGUGUCGGUGCGCAUACCCCCCGACAGCGAGAGGAGCAGCCUGAUCCGCAUCGAGGGCGACCCGCAGGGCGUGCAGCAGGCCAAGCGCGAGCUGCUGGAGCUCGCCUCCCGCAUGGAGAACGAGCGCACCAAGGAUCUGAUCAUCGAGCAGAGGUUCCAUCGCACCAUCAUCGGGCAGAAGGGGGAGCGGAUCCGAGAGAUUCGGGACAAAUUCCCGGAGGUUAUCAUCAACUUUCCAGACCCAGCCCAGAAAAGCGAUAUUGUUCAACUCAGGGGGCCCAAGAACGAGGUGGAAAAAUGCACGAAAUACAUGCAGAAGAUGGUGGCAGAUCUGGUGGAAAACAGCUAUUCGAUUUCUGUUCCGAUCUUCAAGCAGUUUCACAAGAACAUCAUCGGGAAAGGAGGGGCCAACAUUAAGAAGAUUCGAGAAGAGAGCAACACCAAGAUCGACCUCCCCGCCGAGAACAGCAACUCAGAGACCAUUGUCAUCACAGGCAAGCGAGCCAACUGCGAGGCUGCCCGGAGCCGCAUUCUGUCCAUCCAGAAAGACCUGGCCAACAUCGCCGAGGUGGAGGUCGCCAUCCCUGCCCGGCUGCACAACGCCCUCAUCGGCACCAAGGGCCGGCUCAUCCGCUCCAUCAUGGAGGAGUGCGGCGGCGUCCACAUCCACUUCCCCGUGGAAGGCUCCGGGAGCGACACCGUGGUCAUCAGGGGCCCUUCCUCCGACGUGGAGAAGGCCCGCAAGCAGCUCCUGCACCUGGCGGAGGAGAAGCAAACCAAGAGCUUCACCGUCGACAUCCGAGCCAAGCCGGAAUACCACAAGUUCCUCAUCGGCAAAGGGGGCGGCAAAAUCCGCAAGGUGCGCGACAGCACCGGGGCCCGCAUCAUCUUCCCCGCCGCCGAGGACAAGGACCAGGACCUGAUCACCAUCAUAGGCAGGGAGGACGCCGUCCGGGAGGCCCAGCGGGAGCUGGAGGCCCUGAUCCAGAACCUGGACAACGUGGUUGAGGACUUCAUGCUGGUGGACCCCAGGCACCACCGUCACUUUGUCAUCCGACGAGGCCAGGUCCUGCGGGAGAUCGCAGAGGAGUACGGCGGGGUGAUGGUUAGCUUCCCCCGCUCCGGCACGCAGAGCGACAGAGUCACCCUGAAGGGGGCCAAGGACUGCGUGGAGGCGGCCAAGAAGCGCAUUCAGGAGAUCAUCGAGGACCUGGAAGCCCAGGUGACCAUAGAGUGCGCCAUUCCCCAGAAGUUCCAUCGCUCGGUCAUGGGCCCCAAAGGUUCCAGAAUCCAGCAGAUAACUCGCGACCAUAACGUUCAGAUUAAAUUCCCAGACAGAGAGGAGAACCCAGCGCACGGCACGGAGCCAGCCGUCCAGGAGAACGGCGACGACCCCGGGGAGGGGAGAGACGGGAAGGAGGCCGAGCCCGGCUCCCCCAGGAGAUGCGACAUCAUCACCAUCUCCGGCCGGAAGGAGAAGUGCGAGGCCGCCAAGGAGGCCCUUGAGGCCCUGGUUCCCGUCACCAUUGAGGUGGAGGUGCCCCUUGACCUUCACCGGUACAUCAUCGGCCAGAAGGGGAGCGGGAUCCGCAGGAUGAUGGACGAGUUUGAGGUGAAUAUUCACGUCCCGGCCCCCGAGCUGCAGUCAGGCGUCAUCGCCAUCACGGGCCUGGCUGCCAACCUGGACCGGGCCAAGGCUGGGCUGCUGGAGCGGGUGAAGGAGCUGCAGGCGGAGCAGGAAGACCGGGCUUUGCGGAGCUUCAAGCUGAGCGUCACCGUUGACCCCAAGUACCACCCCAAGAUCAUCGGGCGGAAGGGGGCGGUGAUCACCCAGAUCCGCCUGGAGCACGACGUCAACAUCCAGUUUCCUGAUAAGGACGAUGGGAGCCAGGACCACAUCACCAUCACGGGCUACGAGAAGAACACCGAGGCCGCCCGGGACGCCAUCCUCAAGAUCGUGGGGGAGCUCGAGCAGAUGGUUUCUGAGGACGUGCCGCUCGACCACCGCGUCCACGCCCGCAUCAUCGGUGCCCGCGGCAAAGCCAUCCGCAAGAUCAUGGAUGAGUUCAAGGUGGACAUUCGCUUCCCGCAGAGCGGGGCCCCCGACCCCAACUGCGUCACCGUGACGGGGCUGCCGGAGAACGUGGAGGAAGCCAUCGACCACAUCCUCAACCUGGAGGAGGAAUACCUGGCCGACGUGGUGGACACCGAGGCGCUGCAGCUGUACAUGAAGCCCCCGGCCCACGAGGAGGCCAAGGCGCCGUCCAGGGGCUUCGUGGUGCGGGACGCCCCCUGGACCGCCAGCAGCAGCGAGAAGGCUCCCGACAUGAGCAGCUCGGAGGAGUUCCCCAGCUUCGGGGCUCAGGUGGCCCCCAAGACCCUCCCCUGGGGCCCCAAACGAUAAUGCUCGACAAGCAGAAACCUCUCCAGCCUGCUGACCUGAACCCGCCACACGAUGGUCCGUCUCAAUCCGACCCAGCGGCUGGACCCUCCGCAAAUUCUUGACGCCCCUUCCCCGAGGUCUCACAGCGAAGCCGGCGUGGCCCGCGCCCUGGCGGCCGGGUCUCAGGCCUGGCCGCCCCCGGCACAGGCUCUGCUCCCGACCUCUGUGCUGGGGUGGCGGCCGCACGAGCCCCGCGGAGGCCCGCGUCAUCCACCCGGCCUGCCCCGGCUCCGGCCUCCCCGGGAGAGCGCUGCAGCUGCGGCCGCGUCCACUUCCUGUGUCACGACCUCAGGAAAUAAAUGUCCUUGACUUUC